rnacentral:misc_RNA from 1 species
GAUGAAGAACGCAGCGAAGUGCGAUAAGUAAUGUGAAUUGCAGAAUCCAGUGAAUCAUCGAAUCUUUGAACGCACAUUGCGCCCGCCAGCAUUCUGGCGGGCAUGCCUGUUCGAGCGUCAUUUCAACCCUCGACCUCCCUUUGGGGAAGUCGGCGUUGGGGACCGGCAGCACACCGCCGGCCCUGAAAUGGAGUGGCGGCCCGUCCGCGGCGACCUCUGCGUAGUAAACCAACUCGCACCGGAACCCCGACGUGGCCACGCCGUAAAACACCCAACUUCUGAACGUUGACCUCGAAUCAGGUAGGACUACCCGCUGAACUUAAGCAUAUCAAUAAGCGGAGGA